rnacentral:rRNA from 2 species
GGACUACCGGGGUAUCUAAUCCCGUUUGCUCCCCUGGCUUUCGUGCCUCAGCGUCAGGAAAUGUCUAGAGACUCGCCUUCGCCACUGGUGUUCCACUUGAUAUCUACGCAUUUCACUGCUACACCAAGUAUUCCAGUCUCCCCUCCAUUCCUCGAGCAGGAUAGUAUCCGAUGCAGUUUCCGAGUUAGGCUCGGAGAUUUCACAUCAGACUUACCCUACCGCCUACGCACCCUUUACGCCCAGUGAAUCCGAACAACGCUUGGGACCUCUGUAUUACCGCGGCGGCUGGCAC